CUAAUAGUCGAAGACUGAAGCCCUGAUUCUCAUCUGAAGGAGCUCUAGGACUUAAGGGAGUGAAAGGGGGAACUCAGUGCACAUGACAUUGAUGGGCUGAGAAAAAUUCCUAUUUAGAAAUCUGAUGCAAAAGCCAAAGUCAUCGUUCUCAAAUCCAGACUUGAUUCUAACUCAUUGGCCAAACUAGUGCUUCUGCACAGGCUUUGGGAGGGACAGUUGGUUAUCAAGAACGAAGAGGUUCCUGACUUUGAAGG
ensembl:lncRNA